CCCUUAGAUGUUCUGGGCUGCACGCGCGCUACACUGAUGCACUCAACGAGUUUACGACCUUGCCCGAUAGGGUUGGGUAAUCUUUUUAAAAUGCAUCGUGAUGGGGAUAGAUUAUUGCAAUUAUUUAUCUUCAACGAGGAAUUCCUAGUAAGCGCGAGUCAUCAGCUCGUGCUGAUUACGUCCCUGCCCUUUGUACACACCGCCCGUCGCUCCUACCGAUUGAGUGCUCAGGUGAAUAAUUCGGACUGCAGCAAUGUUUGGAUCCCGAACGUUGCAGCGGAAAGUUUAGUGAACCUUAUCACUUAGAGGAAGGAGAAGUCGUAACA
rnacentral:rRNA from 1 species